AAUAAAAGUGUUUCCAUAAGGAAGUAUAAAAGAAUUGGGUAUUCCCAUUUAUCACCAACUGUGACUGAAAGACUAAGAGCUUAAAGAAGAGUAAAAUAAGAGUAAAGAAAAUUAGCAGCAUCUAUCAGGUAUGGCUCACGAGUUCACGCACUAAAUUGCUGGCUUCUUUCACUAUCUCUGGUGCCGGGCUUAUUACCUUCUCAAAAACACACCGAUUCCUCGCUUUUCAAGUGCUCCAACACAGCGCCGCUAUGAGGAGGGUCUUUUGUCUACCGUCUAAUUGAGCCACUGCCCAGGAUAAGACUCGUUGCCACCAAUUGAAAAAUGUAUCUUCUUCUCUCAUCCAUAGGUCAGGGGUUAUUAAGCUUAGUCUCCAUAUUAUUGAAGAUAGGGGGCAUUGGAACAAAGUAUGAGAAAUUGAUUCAACCUUCAACAUGCAUCUUGGACAAGUGGCAGGAGUGGAUGCGAACCGGCUGUGGACUUGUUGCAACACUGGAAGCUUUUCAUGAAGACUUUUCCAUAGAAAAAUCUUAAUUUUAUGUGGUAAUUUCAACUCCCAAAUGCUAUUCCAGACUCUGUUGUGUAUAUUUUGGGGCCUCAAUGAAGUAGGAGAAUGAAAGAAUCCAUCUGGCGGGAUUGUGAGUGCAUUUUGAGGGACAUUAAAGGGCACUGGUAGUGGGAGCCCGGGGUCAUGGAAGAUGCGAACAUUAGUGCCAGAGCCUAUUUUCCAUAACAAGCCUUUCUCGAUCACCUUGCGCCCUUCAAGAACACUUCUCCAGCCCCACGACGGUACUUUCUGGCUGAAAUUGAGGAGUUUGAGCAAAAGUCUGAUUCAAAGAUAGAGAAAGGACUAUAGAUGCUAUCAGGAUCUGACCUCCCUGCACUCGAAGGAGCUUUUCUAGAGCUACAGAAGUUCAAAUAAUGCGCUCUCAAUGGCUAUGGAAAGCUAACAUCCAGCGCUUUCCAGAAAUAUAUAACAGUCCAUACUUUGUUUCAGAAAUAAAGGCCUAAAAUUGGCGUUAAACGCCAACCACUAACUCCAUUCCUGGCGUUCAACGCCCACAGGGGAGCAGCUGAUGUCCAACGCCCAAAAGGGGGUCCCUAGCCAGUGUUCAACGCCCCCAAGGAGUCCUAGCUCAUGGGAGACACUCAAGCUCAGCCCAAACACUCACCAAGUAGGCCUCAGAAGUGAAUUUUUGCACUACAAGACUAGUUUAUCUUAUUUUCUGUAAUCCUUAGUUAGCAGAUUAAUAUAUAUAGGAGGAGAUCACCCUUGUUUAGGAUCUUCUUCUUCCCCCAUUUUGUAUUUUCGAAGAUUAUGUACAGUAUGAGUCACUAACCUCCUAAGGUUA